CAGCAACUUUGUAAAGUUUGAUGACAAACCUGUCGAGUUACUUGCGAAACUAUGAAGGUUGGGAAUAGAGGAAAACAGUGGGAAGAAGGUGACCCUGAAGAAUUAACGCUGCUAUUGAGACGGAUCUAACAACGCAGUCUGGGCUCCGUGCCAAAGGCUGGUAUUUCACAGCAGCGACCGCCUUACAGAUGAGCUGUGGGAAGCAGGAGGGAGACUCUCUUAGGGUGCCACUACUAUGGAGACACAGCUGGGCUGAACAAGAUUUGCUUCAAACGACAACAAGAGAGACAGAAAGUGUCUGGUUCGACCGCUGCCCAAGCAGGCAGUAACCAGAAGAGCUAGCAGCCAAUCCGGCCAUGCUGCACUGUUCGAAACCAGCUCUACAUCCCAGCCAAUCAGUGACAUCACUGGCCUGGAAAGUAACAUUUUCUGUAGAUGUCAGCUUCUGUCUGGUGUGAUGCCCUAUUCUUCUGCUGAAGCCACAUGCAGCACUGAGUAGUACUGGCAAAUAGAAGAGGUCUUUUGGAAUAAGGUGUAUAGCCAUCAUUCCGUUUCACAACUGGACCAUGUUUGCGGCUUCACAAACUGCAGAGCAAGAGAAGCCAACUUUAGGAGCAUGCAUAUUGUGAUAUCCUCAGUGGUUUCUUUUACAACGUAUUCUGCUCAGGCCAGUGAAGUUUGUUUAGCUGACCCGUGAAAGAAAAAAAUUAAGAUGAAAAAGGAAACCGAAGAAGUUAAUUAUACCAGAUUUCAGCGAAGCUGAACGGCUUCCCGAAGAGCACUGAGUUUUCUAUGCCAGAUUCUGCUCCAGUGGCUAGGACCUUUAUGGCUGCUGUUUCUUUUGCUCUGGGCUCUGAUGGAGGAAAAAAAAAAAAAAAAAAAAAACAAAAAACCAACCACGGUGGAUCCUGUCCCUAAAGUAGAAAUUUUCUUUUUCAUUCUGCAAACAAGGCUAAAGAUCGGAGGAGAAUGAAUGCGAAAGUAAUUCGGGAUUGUGGUCGUGCCAUUAAAAGUGUUCGGCUUCAGAAUGAAAUUAUUCGGGAAAUCUGAGUAUUUCUUCUUACUGUAUCGACAGUAUUUGAAAGUUAUGUGUGCUUUGAGUAAUCUGGUUCAAGUGACAACAAUCUCUGCAUGUCAAUGUUUUCUACAGCUUAUGGAGCGAAAGCUACUUUUGCCAUUGGAAAGGAAGAAGCUUUUGCUAGCAGCCUGUAGAAGGAUUAAAUGUUGAACGUGGGGAAGAGGCAAAAAGUGAAUACACGCCCAAAGGUUAUCCUUGCAUCGUGAAUGGGUUUAAAGUACUCUGUAACCCAGGGCCCACCUGAACAGUAGGACUAAAAGUAUAAUGGGGAAAUAUUUCAAUUAGAAACCCCUUAACAAGCAUUUAAUCCUUCUUUCAGGCAUUAAGGGAAAUAGAAUAAAAUUGUUACUGUACAAAUCUGCUGGAAGCAGAUUUUAACCCAUUUUUAGACACUUCCCUGUGAUGCUUUAAAAUAUGGCUACUUGUGAGAGGAGGCAGUGAAGAUUUUUUUUUCCUGUGUUCUUUGUUUUUUCUUUUCAAAAGUUAAGGACUAUGCUCUGAGAAAAGUCUGUUCAGUCAGCUGAUACAUUGUUUGAAUGUAUGUAUGCAUCUUGUCUGCUUAUUUGAUCUUUUCUGCCCCCUACUUGAAACUGUGGUUUGUUUAUUGGGGGGAAGGAGGGGUUGUUGAUUUGGGGGGGAUGUUGGGUUUUGGGUUUGUUUUGGUUUUGUUUUUUGUUUUUGUUUUUUUUUAACAAUAGCAGUGAAAGUUUUACUGACAGCGAUUAUGACUACUAAGCAAUUGAGUUUAUUGGAAGACGAAUUCUACUGGAUCAUAUCGGACUUUUCCUAGUCCCUGAGACCCUAACUUGUGAGGUUUUUUAGCAACAAUCACAAGUCAGGCUCUUGGGACCUAGGCGGAGGGGAACCAGCAGCUUUGGACUGUGAUUGUUUCUCUGCAGAAUUUAGAAAAUCAAAGGAGCUUUACUUGUCUGGAAGGGAAAAAAGAAAAAUAUACCUUUUUCAAAUGUUAAGAAGCAGAGCUGUUGCUAGAAGAAAAAAAACCCUGUUAUCCUUUGUGCAACAUUAGGAUGUUACAUACUUGUCUGUUUAGAAAACUGGACUAGAUGCCAUGUAACAUUCAGAAUUAAAAUUUAACCUGAAUGCCAGUUAGCACCUCAAAACAAAAACAAAAACAAAAAACAAAACAACCCCAACUCAGAACAAAUACUAAAAUAUACAAACGGCUGUCAACCAUAUUAUUAUUAUUAUUAUUAUUAUUAUUAUUGGCAAUUCUGACAUAAUUACCACAAAGUAUAUUUUCAGCUGUAUUGUUACAGCAUUAAUUAACUUUUCAAACAUGAUGCAUAAACACCAAUGUUUGAGGCCUAGAAAACAUUAAGUCUAUUGUUGUUUGAAUAAUGAUUUCAGUCUAGAGGAAAACUGUUGCUUAGCUUUUCCUGUAACAUGGGACAAAGAUUAUUUUGUAGUUAGUUGCCAUCAUUUUUCUUUGUCUAAGUGAGAACACAAUAUGGCAUUUAAAAUAUUUUCUCAUUUAAUUUACAUCUUAAUCUGACAGAGGAUAUUGGUGUGAAAAUCAUACUACAGCAUUAAGAUCGUUUUGCAUACAGAAUCACAUUUCUUGUACCUGUUCAAUUUAAACUGAGCCAGCAAUACUCUAAGCACCGGACUCAGCUUUUAGCCUCUCUAUCUCUUUUUGCUUUUUCACCCUCUGACAAAAAACAGAGUGAGGUUUACAUUGUCCCUCAUGUGUUAAGUACUUCACUGACUUUGCAUGAGAAGAUUCACAAGCACACAAGUUAUUCUGCACUGUUCAUUAGUCUUGAACUUCUGAUCCACAACACACAAUUUGUAUUUCUUAAUAUUUUAUGGGUAGGUUAGUUCUGAGUAAUUUUCCUCUGUUUCCUGUGUCUAACCCAACAUACUGCAGGACCUUGUUGAUACAUCAGACUUCACUGAAACAAAGGCUUCACACAGAUCAGGCAUUUAAACUAUUUGUUCAUUUCAGAAGUGGUAUUUUGGCUGCAGUAUAUUUUUUCCACUUGUGUGGGAGGAAUUGUGUUUUAUUGUAAGCAUCGACACUAUUGUUAAAAUAAAUUGUUCUUAUCUGUUAGUAUAA